UGGGGAAUUUUGGACAAUGGGCGAAAGCCUGAUCCAGCAAUGCCGCGUGUGUGAAGAAGGCCUUCGGGUUGUAAAGCACUUUUGUCCGGAAAGAAAUCCUUGGCUCUAAUACAGUCGGGGGAUGACGGUACCGGAAGAAUAAGCACCGGCCAACUACGUGCCAGCAGCCGCGGUAAUACGUAGGGUGCAAGCGUUAAUCGGAAUUACUGGGCGUAAAGCGUGCGCAGGCGGUUUGCUAAGACCGAUGUGAAAUCCCCGGGCUCAACCUGGGAACUGCAUUGGUGACUGGCAGGCUAGAGUAUGGCAGAGGGGGGUAGAAUUCCACGUGUAGCAGUGAAAUGCGUAGAGAUGUGGAGGAAUACCGAUGGCGAAGGCAGCCCCCUGGGCCAAUACUGACGCUCAUGCACGAAAGCGUGGGGAGCAAACAGGAUUAGAUACCCUGGUAGUCCACGCCCUAAACGAUGUCAACUAGUUGUUGGGGAUUCAUUUCCUUAGUAACGUAGCUAACGCGUGAAGUUGACCGCCUGGGGAGUACGGUCGCAAGAUUAAAACUCAAAGGAAUUGAC
rnacentral:rRNA from 1 species